UUUGCAUUCAGGCCCUUCGAUGUGUGAGAAACUACCAAUUCCCCCCUCCAACUGAUGAGAAACUACCAAUGUCCCCUUCCCCAAAUCCCUUCCUCUGCAUCUGUCUGAACUCUGAAGCCUGAAGGUCUCCCCACCAGGCUACCGCCGCCGCCGUCCGCCGAGCGCCGCUAUCCGCCCGCCGCAGCCGAACGCGCCUGCAGGUUUCCUCUCCUACCGCCGGAAUAUACCAUGGAGGUCAGACCGAUGGUAGCUCUACGUGCUGCUCUAGUUGGUGGGAUAGCAGCAUUUGCGAAGAUUGGUGGGGCUAUGAAAGCUGCAGGAGGUGUCAAGGUUGGUGCAGCUGCUGCGGCUGUGACAGCGGCAGCAUCAGCUGCCAUAUCCGGAAAAGACACGAGCAAAGACACUUCAAAGGAAGAAACAAAAUGAUAUAAAUCAUGGAUUUGUGGAGAAGUAUGAAAUUGCUUCUCCAGAGGUCUAGUAGAGAAAGGACGGCUGUAGUCAAUAAACUACUGGAGCAGGUUUUCAUGCUCCAUGUUUUUUUUAAUCUUGGGAUAAGAAUGACUGUUGAGUUUCCCCAAAUUAUGGUACCCCCAUGCAAUAGUUUUGGUUGCUCAAUGUCAUGAGCUACCUGUUACUCACACUGUGUAUGCCUAACCUGAUUUCUGCUGCCAUAUUGUGAGGGCAAUGCAUCGACUAUGAUCUGUUUGCACUA